rnacentral:rRNA from 1 species
CUUGGUCAUUUAGAGGAAGUAAAAGUCGUAACAAGGUCUCCGUAGGUGAACCUGCGGAGGGAUCAUUACAAGUGACCCCGGUCUAACCACCGGGAUGUUCAUAACCCUUUGUUGUCCGACUCUGUUGCCUCCGGGGCGACCCUGCCUUCGGGCGGGGGCUCCGGGUGGACACUUCAAACUCUUGCGUAACUUUGCAGUCUGAGUAAACUUAAUUAAUAAAUUAAAACUUUUAACAACGGAUCUCUUGGUUCUGGCAUCGAUGAAGAACGCAGCGAAAUGCGAUAAGUAAUGUGAAUUGUAGAAUUCAGUGAAUCAUCGAAUCUUUGAACGCACAUUGCGCCCCCUGGUAUUUCGGGGGGCAUGCCUGUUCGAGCGUCAUUUCACCACUCAAGCCUCGCUUGGUAUUGGGCAACGCGGUCCGCCGCGUGCCUCAAAUCGACCGGCUGGGUCUUCUGUCCCCUAAGCGUUGUGGAAACUAUUCGCUAAAGGGUGUUCGGGAGGCUACGCCGUAAAACAACCCCAUUUCUAAGGUUGACCUCGGAUCAGGUAGGGAUACCCGCUGAACUUAAGCAUAUCAAUAAGCGGAGGA